rnacentral:rRNA from 1 species
AUUGAACGCUGGCGGCAGGCCUAACACAUGCAAGUCGAGCGGAUGAAGGGAGCUUGCUCCUGGAUUCAGCGGCGGACGGGUGAGUAAUGCCUAGGAAUCUGCCUGGUAGUGGGGGAUAACGUCCGGAAACGGGCGCUAAUACCGCAUACGUCCUGAGGGAGAAAGUGGGGGAUCUUCGGACCUCACGCUAUCGGAUGAGCCUAGGUCGGAUUAGCUAGUUGGUGGGGUAAAGGCCUACCAAGGCGACGAUCCGUAACUGGUCUGAGAGGAUGAUCAGUCACACUGGAACUGAGACACGGUCCAGACUCCUACGGGAGGCAGCAGUGGGGAAUAUGGGACAAUGGGCGAAAGCCUGAUCCAGCCAUGCCGCGUGUGUGAAGAAGGUCUGCGGAUUGUAAAGCACUUUAAGUUGGGAGGAAGGGCAGUAAGUUAAUACCUUGCUGUUUGGACGUUACCAACAGAAUAAGCACCGGCUAACUUCGU